UGGGGAAUAUUGGACAAUGGAGGAAACUCUGAUCCAGCAAUUCUGUGUGUGUGAAGAAGGUUUUAGGACUGUAAAACACUUCUAGUAGGGAAGAAAAAAAUGACGGUACCUACAGAAGAAGCAACGGCUAAAUACGUGCCAGCAGCCGCGGUAAUACGUAUGUUGCGAGCGUUAUCCGGAAUUAUUGGGCUUAAAGGGCAUCUAGGCGGUAAGACAAGUUGAAGGUGAAAACCUGUGGCUCAACCAUAGGCUUGCCUACAAAACUGUUGAACUAGAGUACUGGAAAGGUGGGUGGAACUACACGAGUAGAGGUGAAAUUCGUAGAUAUGUGUAGGAAUGCCGAUGAUGAAGAUAACUCACUGGACAGAAACUGACGCUGAAGUGCGAAAGCUAGGGGAGCAAACAGG
rnacentral:rRNA from 1 species